rnacentral:rRNA from 1 species
UCCGGCCUGGGAGAUGUGAACGGCCACACUGUGAACUGAGACACGGUCCAGACUCCUACGGGAGGCAGCAGUAGGGAAUAUUGCUCAAUGGGGGAAACCCUGAAGCAGCAACGCCGCGUGGAGGAUGAAGGUUUUAGGAUUGUAAACUCCUUUUGUUAGAGAAGAUAAUGACGGUAUCUAACGAAUAAGCACCGGCUAACUCCGUGCCAGCAGCCGCGGUAAUACGGAGGGUGCAAGCGUUACUCGGAAUCACUGGGCGUAAAGAGCGCGUAGGCGGGAUAGUCAGUCAGGUGUGAAAUCCUAUGGCUUAACCAUAGAACUGCAUUUGAAACUACUAUUCUAGAGUGUGGGAGAGGUAGGUGGAAUUCUUGGUGUAGGGGUAAAAUCCGUAGAGAUCAAGAGGAAUACUCAUUGCGAAGGCGACCUGCUGGAACAUUACUGACGCUGAUUGCGCUUAAAGCGUGGGAAAA